GUACAAGUAUUGGCUGUACAUAUUCCAAAACUGGAAUGAUACAUAGAAGGUUAGCAUGGCUCCUGCACAAAGAUGACACACAAAUUCAUGAAGCAUUCCAUAUUUCU
rnacentral:snRNA from 1 species